rnacentral:rRNA from 1 species
CUUGGCGACCAUAGCGUUUUGGACCCACCUGAUUCCAUUCCGAACUCAGAAGUGAAACGAAAUAGCGCCGAUGG